rnacentral:misc_RNA from 1 species
UGAUUUUGAGAGAGGCCCAGCAAACACACUUGGGAGCCGCAGCGGAUUAGCUCAGUCGCGAGAGAACGAUUCAACUCGUAGGACGUGUGUGGCUUAAAGUAUUGCGCGUCGCGUCCCAAAGUGAUUUAAGUGGCGGCGAUCGUGCGCGUGCGCCUUCUGGUGGUCAAUUAGUGAAACUUGCGGAAAAUUGCAAGUGAAAAAAAAAAGUCUCAAAAGCGCCACCCUGAAUAAUGGCUUCAAAGUGAAGAAAAAAGUGCAAAGGGGAAAGAUUUUCCGCGCGGUGAAGAAAAAUCUCAUUCAUUUUCGGGUUGGGGUGUGUGGUUCGAGUUUUUCCCCAUCGAAACCGAAAAAGAAGUGCGGUUCUAAAAUUAGAAAUCUCGAGAAAGUGGCGGCACCUCGUGUGCUGCUGUGCAACGUUCGUCGUCAAGUCGCAGAAUAAGAUGAUGCGCGCUGCGGCAAGAAGAUUCGAUGAAAAGUGAAGAACGUAUCGACCUUGUUCGAUCGGGGAUCUCGAAAGUUUUUUUUUUCUAGUUCACACUGAACCCAAAGCAAACCAAACAUCCUCCUCAAUGAAUGAGGCAUUCAAUUUCUAUUAUCAAAACUUGUUUUCGAUAACGAAGCAGUCGUCUGCUUCGUCGCCUUCUUCGACGGUACGCAGUUUCGUCGAAGGGCAGCAGCAACAUCAACAGCAACAUCAGCAACAACAACAGGAAGACCUUGACGCGAUCGCGAAGCAGAUUUCCGAUCACGCCGAAGCGAUCUACCAGACAUGGAAGGCUCGUGGCCUCGCGCCAACUGAGAUCCUCAACUGCCAACUGCCGACCGUGGACGGCGAGGAUGCGUUUAGCCGGACGUUGAGCCCGACAUCCUCGGUAGCGCCAUCGCCGACAGCAUCGCCAGCAGGUGCCGCUUCCGCGUCUACUUCCGGUGUAGCAAAGCUACUCGCGCAAGCACCCGAACUGUCCAACAACAGCCUCGAGCAGCUGGUCAGUUCGUUCGUCAACGAAGACAAAGCUCGGAUCGCCGCCCAGAAGCAGCGAUCACCCGUAGCCGGACGGACAGCCGCCGCCGGUUCCGCCAUCAAGAGUGUGCUACAAAAGUUCGAACAGAACGGUGCUCAAAGCAGCCUCAACACCUCGCCGGUCAACAAGCCAAACUUUAUCCGACCCGGCGUGAAACAGGUAGUGAACAACAAUAACAACAACAAUCUCGGGACCUUGGACAAGAACAAUGUACCGGAUGUGCUAAAGGAUACGAUCGUCGUCGAGAAACCCCGUGAAAAACCACAGACUCCGGUGAAACCGGAACAUCUGCUUAACCAUGUUCCUAGCUGGCCGCUCAAGAAUCGUGUAGUGAAGACUCCAGGCCAGCAACCCCAACAACAACAACAACCACAGCAAAACCAUCACCACAGUUCGUCAGCUCCCAGCAGCGGUCCCGGAAGCAGUAGUAGUAAUAUUAGUAGUACCAGUGGCCUUAACAGCUCUCUCAUCUCCAAGAACACCGCGGAGCUUAUGGAUGAAGUGUCCCGGGAGGAGGAACGUCUGAUAAACGCACUCAAAACGGGCACCGUACUGAACAACACUGACGGACUACUUCCGGAGGUGAUCACCUCGACGCUGGUCCCCGAUCGCGGAGACGUGCCCGACUACGGCUACAGCAGUAGCAGUCCCGGCGCAGACAUGGUGACCUCGUCAACCCUCAUGGCCAACGGGAACGGCAUCAACGGCAAUGGCACCACCGUCGUCGCCGCCGACGGCCAGAACAACGCGGGCGGAAACGCCGCCGGCGUCAAGCACUGGAACGGCGUCCCGAUGAAGCCGAACCACAUCCCGAUUAUGAGCCUGCACCAGAUCCACGAGCAGCAGAAGCUCUCCACCAACUUUACCCGCAACGUCGCAACCACAAGACUGCCCAAGGACUUUGGCCGGGGAGGCCAGCAGGACAAGAAGGAGGACUUCCAGGCCAAAACCAUUCCGAGCCCGAUCAGGCCGUUCCUGUCGCGCGGGUCGGUCGCCGAGCGGGUGCUCAUCUUCGAGAAGUGCCCCGAGAAGGCGCCACCGCGCGAGCGCGCCAAGGAGCCGGUGAAGGUGCAGUCCAAACCCGUCAACAGACUGAUCCCGCCAAACAUUCACACAACGCUUCAACGACACUUGAAGAACUCAACGAAAGCUCCCUACAUACCACAAUUCCACUUCCCGAACGGCAAGCCCCCGGCGGCCAUCACGACUGAGACGACGAUGCAGCGGCUGGAGCAGGUCUUCGACUCGCUGCCCAACUACGAGUGCAGCCGGGACAAGUUCCACAAGGUGGUGACGAUGUGCCAGGUGCCGCUGUACUGGCGCGUCCCCCUGUUCAUGUGCACCCCGCUCACCGCGACCGGCUGCGUCAACGGCGACAAGUUCAUCUCGUUCUGGCGGCAAAUGACCUCCUUCUGCCACGAUCCGGCGUCCCGCUUCGUGUACAUCAUGUCGCGCGGGGACCGGACGCGGUCCUUCAUCCUGCCGGAGGACUUUGCGCCGCUGAUUCAGGACGUGGUCGACACGCACCCGGGGCUGGCGUUCCUGAAGGAGGCGGCCGAGUUCCACUCGCGGUACGUGCACACCGUGAUAGCGCGCAUCUUCUACAGCGUGAACCGCAGCUGGACGGGGAAGAUUACGGUGCCCGAGCUGCGCAAGUCGAACCUGCUGGACGUGAUGCAGCUGCUCGAGGAGGAGGAGGACAUCAACCAGAUUAUGGCGUACUUUAGCUACGAGCACUUUUACGUCAUCUACUGCAAGUUCUGGGAGCUGGAUCGGGACCACGACCUGUUCAUCGACCAGCAGGACCUGGCGCGGCACAAUGACCACGCCCUGUCCUCGCGCAUGAUCGAGCGCAUCUUCUCCGGGUGUGUGACGCGGGGUCCGCGCCGUGGCAACGCCAACCCGAUCGUGAUGGGCCCGAACGGGCCGAAGAUGUCCUACACGGACUUUGUGUGGUUCCUGCUGGCCGAGGAGGACAAGACGCACCCGACCGCCAUCGAGUACUGGUUCCGCUGCAUGGACGUCGACGGCGACGGGAUGCUGUCGAUGUACGAGCUGGAGUACUUUUACGAGGAGCAGCAGCACCGGAUGGAGUCGCUCGGCAUCGAGACGCUCCCCUUCGAAGACUGUCUGUGCCAGAUGCUGGAUAUGAUCAAACCGACCACGCCCGGUUGCAUCACGCUGGCGGACCUGAAGCGCUGCAAGAUGACGCCCAUCUUCUUCGACACGUUCUUCAACCUGGAAAAGUACAUGGAGCACGAACAGCGGGAUCCGUUCGCGCAGCGUGAUAAUGACGAUCUCUCCGACUGGGAUCGGUACGCAGCACAGGAGUACGAGCUACUGGUGGCCGAAGAGGGAGGUGAUACGCAAGGGGAGGAAGAAACCACCCGAUAGAGAACACAAACCCUUCCUGCGGGUGCACACAAUUGUAAUAGGAAUGAUGGGGUCUCGGUCCACGUGGUUUUUGUGAGAGAGCGAUGAGUUUUGAGUGUUGAAAUAAAGCGUGAAAAUUUCGGGGGUCGUACGACGAGGACGACGACUACGAGUCCAACAUUGAUAUUCUAGAGUCCCAGCUGGACGACUGCCUGCUGAACGAGUGGUGAGACGGGGCCUCCGGCGGACCGCGUGGCCGCCGCAAGUUGCUCACCACCGGUUGGUUGGCGCGACGCAGAAAAAAGCAGCAAAGUGGCCAAAUCGGGAUCGACGACGACGACGAUGACGAGGAGGACGAUGAGGACGACGAUACGCCGCUGCCGGACGAGGAGCUGGCCCGGCUGGAGCAGGAGAUUUUGGACGAGCUGAACCAGUUUUAGACAGAGGGAGGGGAGGGAGAGAGAGCGGAAGAGAGCGCGCGAGUCACCCAUCGUCAGUGUCGACACUCACUCACUCCAACAGCACCACUACUCACAAUACUCUCAUCAGAUGAGCGUAAACGAGAGAGCGCGAGCGAGCGCUCGCGGUAACUCAUUUGGAUUCGGGUCACUCACCGAUGAGAUACCGAGGUGGUGAAGACGCGUCUUGGGAGAAAAGUGAACUUCUUUUGUAUAGCCUGUAGAUUUUUUCCCCUCUAGCCUGAAUAGGAUUUUUUCUCUUGGAGUGAAUGAGACCUUGGAUCGGAUGUAGAACUGAAUCAUAGCGACGCGUCAUCAUCAUAACCUUCACUGUCUCAUCGGUAGCUCACUCAUUUGUCGUCGAUUCCGUGGAAACUGUGUAAGAAUGUGCUGAUUAAAAAAACACAGGUUUUUGUGUGUGUAUUUUAACGUGCAAGUAUUUUUCAAACUAUUCUAUAAUGAAACGUACACACACAGAACUAUCGAAACAAAACAAAAAAACAAUUGAAUUCUUAGUGUCAUACACGUGAAUAUGCACACGUUCAAAGAGAAACAACCCGUUGAUGAAGAGAACAAUGUUGAUCAUUUUCUUUUUAGUCUACACGCCUGCUUAUUAGCCAAAAACAAAACAAACAAAUCGAAGUAAUCGUUGUCAAAUUUUGAUGAUUUUAAUUUUGUUAUGUAGCGAUAAAUGCAAAAUUAUCAUAUUGUAUAGUUUUACCUUUCAUUUCUCUCUCUUAUUUGAUAAGUGUGUUACUAGUUACCAAAACAAAUCAUGACAAACAGAACAAAGCUCGAUUGAAUCGCCAUUUGUUGCAUGCUAGUUGAUUUUGUAGAAACUUUUUAUUUAAAGAAAAAAUCAAUCCAUUGAUAUUAAAAGGGCGAAAUCGAUGUGCUAGAAAACAAAAUACACAGAACCAGACUUGAAAUUUAGGGAAGCCACUGAUCAGUAGCGAAAAGAUUCAUACUUAUGAGAGAUAAACAACACACAAAUAACUGAUAAAACAUUUGAAUGUUGCAUUAAAUUUAGUAGAAGACCGGAUUUGGUGUGUCAACGGUGAAAGCACUCACUCAGUUGAGCCGGAAUUAAAGGGGAAACCCCUUUUUAAAGGGACCCAUUUUUAAUCGGUAGAAUGUGUUUGCCUAACUAGCCGUGUAGAUAGGGCGAAGGGAGUUGAAAUUGGUAUACACAAAGUUUUAAAAAUUGACGAGCGGUGCCAAACACACACACACAAAAUGUAACAGACAGCAGCUUAAGUUGCGACCACCAUCGUCCAAAGCUUUAGCAGACUAAACUCAUCAACCCCAAAAUCAGCGUCGCGUCAUUUUAGCGUGUACAUCAUGCCACUAACGUCAAAGCGUCUCGCCAUCUUGCUUUCUUC